rnacentral:rRNA from 1 species
AACGAACGCUGGCGGCAGGCCUAACACAUGCAAGUCGAGCGCACCCUUCGGGGUGAGCGGCGGACGGGUUAGUAACGCGUGGGAACGUGCCCAGAUCUGCGGAAUAGCCACUGGAAACGGUGAGUAAUACCGCAUACGCCCUUCGGGGGAAAGAUUUAUCGGAUUUGGAUCGGCCCGCGUUAGAUUAGGUAGUUGGUGGGGUAACGGCCUACCAAGCCGACGAUCCAUAGCUGGUUUGAGAGGAUGAUCAGCCACACUGGGACUGAGACACGGCCCAGACUCCUACGGGAGCUGCAGUCGAGAUCAUUCACAAUGCACGAAAGUGUGAUGAUGCGACGCCGCGUGAAGGAUGGAA